rnacentral:rRNA from 1 species
UACGAAGGGGGCUAGCGUUGCUCGGAAUCACUGGGCGUAAAGGGUGCGUAGGCGGGUCUUUAAGUCAGGGGUGAAAUCCUGGAGCUCAACUCCAGAACUACCUUUGAUACUGAGGAUCUUGAGUUCGGGAGAGGUGAGUGGAACUGCGAGUGUAGAGGUGAAAUUCGUAGAUAUUCGCAAGAACACCAGUGGCGAAGGCGGCUCACUGGCCCGAUACUGACGCUGAGGCACGAAAGCGUGGGGAGCAAACAGGG